UACAGAGGUCUCAAGCGUUGUUCGGAUUCAUUGGGCGUAAAGGGUGCGUAGGCGGGCAGGUAAGUCCGUGGUGAAAUCUCUGAGCUUAACUCAGAAACUGCCAUGGAUACUAUCUGUCUUGAAUAUUGUGGAGGUAAGCGGAAUAUGUCAUGUAGCGGUGAAAAUGCUUAGAUAUGACAUAGAACACCAAUUGCGAAGGCAGCUUGCUACACAGUUAUUGACGCUGAGGCACGAAAAGCGUGGGGAUCAAAACAGG
rnacentral:rRNA from 1 species